CAGGAUUAGAUACCCUGGUAGUCCACGCCGUAAACGAUGAGUGCUAGAUAUCGGAAGAUUCUCUUUCGGUUUCGCAGCUAACGCAUUAAGCACUCCGCCUGGGGAGUACGGUCGCAAGAUUAAAACUCAAAGGAAUUGACGGGGGCUCGCACAAGCGGUGGAGCAUGCGGUUUAAUUCGAUGUUACGCGAAAAACCUUACCAACCCUUGACAUGGUGGUCGCGGAUCGCAGAGAUGCUUUUCUUCAGCUCGGCUGGACCACACACAGGUGUUGCAUGGCUGUCGUCAGCUCGUGUCGUGAGAUGUUGGGUUAAGUCCCGCAACGAGCGCAACCCUCAUUCUUAUUUGCCAGCGGGUAAUGCCGGGAACUAUAAGAAAACUGCCGGUGAUAAGCCGGAGGAAGGUGGGGACGACGUCAAGUCAUCAUGGCCCUUACGGGUUGGGCUACACGCGUGCUACAAUGGUGUUUACAGAGGGAAGCAAGACGGCGACGUGGAGCAAAUCCCUAAAAGACAUCUCAGUUCGGAUUGUUCUCUGCAACUCGAGAGCAUGAAGUUGGAAUCGCUAGUAAUCGCGGAUCAGCAUGCCGCGGUGAAUACGUUCUCGGGCCUUGUACACACUGCCCGUCACGCCAUGGGAGUUAGUUUUACCUGAAGG
rnacentral:rRNA from 2 species